UCGACGGCAGCACAGAGGAGCUUGCUCCUUGGGUGGCGAGUGGCGGACGGGUGAGUAAUGCAUCGGGAUCUACCCUGACGUGGGGGAUAACCUCGGGAAACCGGGACUAAUACCGCAUACGUCCUACGGGAGAAAGCGGGGGACCUUCGGGCCUCGCGCGGCAGGACGAACCGAUGUGCGAUUAGCUAGUUGGCGGGGUAAUGGCCCACCAAGGCGACGAUCGCUAGCUGGUCUGAGAGGAUGAUCAGCCACACUGGGACUGAGACACGGCCCAGACUCCUACGGGAGGCAGCAGUGGGGAAUAUUGGACAAUGGGCGCAAGCCUGAUCCAGCAAUGCCGCGUGUGUGAAGAAGGCCUUCGGGUUGUAAAGCACUUUUAUCAGGAGCGAAAUACCACGGGUUAAUACCCUAUGGGGCUGACGGUACCUGAGGAAUAAGCACCGGCUAACUUCGUGCCAGCAGCCGCGGUAAUACGAAGGGUGCAAGCGUUAAUCGGAAUUACUGGGCGUAAAGGGUGCGUAGGCGGUUACUUAAGUCUGUCGUGAAAUCCCCGGGCUCAACCUGGGAAUGGCGAUGGAUACUGGGUGGCUAGAGUGUGUCAGAGGAUGGUGGAAUUCCCGGUGUAGCGGUGAAAUGCGUAGAGAUCGGGAGGAACAUCAGUGGCGAAGGCGGCCAUCUGGGACAACACUGACGCUGAAGCACGAAAGCGUGGGGAGCAAACAGGAUUAGAUACCCUGGUAGUCCACGCCCUAAACGAUGCGA
rnacentral:rRNA from 1 species